rnacentral:rRNA from 1 species
GACGAACGCUGGCGGCGUGCUUAACACAUGCAAGUCAAGGGGGCCCAGCAAUGGGCAACCGGCGAACGGGUGCGUAACACGUGAGCAACCUACCGAACUGUGGGGGGAUAGCCGGCCUAACGGCCGAGUAAUACCGCAUACGCUCUCAGAGAGGCAUUUCUUUGAGAGGAAACCUACGGGACAGAUCGAGGGGCUCGCGGCCUAUCAGCUAGUUGGCGAGGUAACGGCNCACCAAGGCAACGACGGGUAGCUGGUCUGAGAGGAUGGCCAGCCACAUUGGGACUGAGAUACGGCCCAGACUCCUACGGGAGGCAGCAGUGGGGAAUCUUGCGCAAUGGCCUAACGGCUGACGCAGCGACGCCGCGUGU